GAUGAACGCUAGCGGCAGGCCUAACACAUGCAAGUCGAGGGGCAUCACGGAUUGCUUGCAAUCUGGUGGCGACCGGCGCACGGGUGCGUAACGCGUAUACAACCUACCUUUUGGAGGGGAAUAGCCCAGAGAAACUUGGAUUAAUGCCCCAUAGUAUAUAGACUUCUCCUGAAGUUUAUAUUAAACAUUUAUGGCUAUUAGAUGGGUAUGCGUCCUAUUAGUUAGUUGGUAAGGUAACGGCUUACCAAGGCAGCGAUAGGUAGGGGUCCUGAGAGGGAGAUCCCCACACUGGUACUGAGACACGGACCAGACUCCUACGGGAGGCAGCAGUGAGGAAUAUUGGACAAUGGGCGAGAGCCUGAUCCAGCCAUGCCGCGUGCAGGAAGACUGCCCUAUGGGUUGUAAACUGCUUUUACAGAGGAAGAACCACCCCCACGUGUGGGGGUUUGACGGUACUCUGCGAAUAAGGAUCGGCUAACUCCGUG
rnacentral:rRNA from 1 species